AACAGAAAAAAGAAGCCAAUUGUGUCAGUGGUGCUGCCUUUUAUGACUCUGGUGCACUAAGUUGUGAUUAUGCUUAAACACUUACUUAAACGCUGGUGCUAUUGGUAGUGGUUUCGGUUGUUAUGGUCUUAGUCGUGGUACUUUCUAGAGUUGCGGUGCCAGCUGUUGUGCUCUCAGUUGUUGUGGUGCCAGUUGUGGUGCUUUCUGGAGUUGUGGUGCCAGUUGUGGUGCUUUCAGUUGUUGUGGUCUCAGUUGUGGUGCUUUCUGGAGUUGUGGUGCCAGUUGUGGUGCUUUCUGGAGUUGUGGUGCCAGUUGUGGUGCUUUCUGGAGUUGUGGUCUCAGUUGUGGUACUUUCUGGAGUUGUGGUGCCAGUUGUGGUGCUUUCAGUUGUUGUGGUGCCAGUUGUGGUGCUUUCAGUUGUUGUGGUCUCAGUUGUGGUGCUUUCUGGAGUUGUGGUGCCAGUUGUGGUGCUUUCGGUUGUUGUUGUGCCAGUUGUGGUGCUUUCGGUUGUUGUGGUCUCAGUUGUGGUACUUUCUGGAGUUGUGGUGCCAGUUGUGGUGCUUUCGGUUGUUGUGGUGCCAGUUGUGGUGCUUUCGGUUGUUGUGGUCUCAGUUGUGGUACUUUCUGGAGUUGCUUUCGGUUGUUGUGGUGCCAGUUGUGGUGCUUUCUGGAGUUGUGGUGCCAGUUGUGGUGCUUUCGGUUGUUGUGGUGCCAGUUGUGGUGCUUUCGGUUGUUGUGGUGCCAGUUGUGGUGCUUUCUGUUGUUGUGGUGGAGUUGUGGUGCCAGUUGUGGUGCUUUCUGUUGUUGUGGUCUCAGUUGUGGUGCUUUCUGGAGUUGUGGUGCCAGUUGUGGUGCUUUCGGUUGUUGUGGUCUCAGUUGUGGUACUUUCUGGAGUUGUGGUGCCAGUUGUGGUGCUUUCGGUUGUUGUGGUCUCAGUUGUGGUACUUUCUGGAGUUGUGGUGCUUUCGGUUGUUGUGGUGCCAGUUGUGGUGCUUUCAGUUGUUGUGGUCUCAGUUGUGGUGCUUUCUGGAGUUGUGGUGCCAGUUGUGGUGCUUUCGGUUGUUGUGGUGCUUUCGGUUGUUGUGGUGCCAGUUGUGGUGCUUUCUGGAGUUGUGGUGCCAGUUGUGGUGCUUUCGGUUGUUGUGGUCUCAGUUGUGGUACUUUCUGGAGUUGUGGUGCCAGUUGUGGUGCUUUCUGUUGUUGUGGUCUCAGUUGUGGUGCUUUCUGGAGUUGUGGUGCCAGUUGUGGUGCUUUCGGUUGUUGUGGUCUCAGUCGUGGUACUUUCUAGAGUUGUGGUGCCAGUUGUGGUGCUUUCGGUUGUUGUGGUGCCAGUUGUGGUGCUUUCGGUUGUUGUGGUUUCAGUUGUUUUACUUUCUGGAGUUGUGGUGCCAGUUGUGGUGCUUUCGGUUGUUGUGGUCUCAGUUGUGGUACUUUCUGGAGUUUUGGUGCCAGUUGUGAUGCUUUCGGUUGUUGUGGUCUCAGUUGUGGUGCUUUCUGUUGUUGUAGUUUCAGUUGUGGUGCUUUCUGGAGUUGUGGUGCCAGUUGUGGUGCUUUCGGUUGUUGUGGUGCCUGUUGUGGUGCUUUCUGGAGUUGUGGUGCCAGUUGUGGUGCUUUCUGUUGUUGUGGUCUCAGUUGUGGUGCUUUCUGGAGUUGUGGUGUCAGUUGUGGUGCUUUCGGUUGUUGUGGUGUCAGUUGUGGUACUUGCUGGAGUUGUGGUGCCAGUUGUGGUGCUUUCGGUUGUUGUGGUGCCAGUUGUAGUGCUUUCGGUUGUUGUGGUGCCAGUUGUGGUGCUUUCUGGAGUUGUGGUGUCAGUUGUGGUGCUUUCGGUUGUUGUGGUCUCAGUUGUGGUACUUUCUGGAGUUGUGGUGCCAGUUGUGGUGCUUUCUGUUGUUGUGGUUUCAGUUGUGGUGCUUUCUGGAGUUGUGGUGCCAGUUGUGGUGCUUUCGGUUGUUGUGGUCUCAGUUGUGGUGCUUUCUGGAGUUGUGGUGCCAGUUGUGGUGCUUUCGGUUGUUGUGGUCUCAUUUGUGGUGCUUUCUGGAGUUGUGGUGCCAGUUGUGGUGCUUUCGGUUGUUGUGGUGCCAGUUGUGGUGGUUUCGGUUGUUGUGGUGCCAGUUGUGGUGCUUUCGGUUGUUGUGGUCUCUGUUGUGGUACUUUCUGGAGUUGUGGUGCCAGUUGUGGUGCUUUCGGUUGUUGUGGUCUCAGUUGUGGUACUUUCUGGAGUUGUAGUGCCAGUUGUGGUGCUUUCGGUUGUUGUGGUGCUUUCGGUUGUUGUGGUCUCAGUUGUGGUACUUCCUGGAGUUGUGGUGCCAGUUGUGGUGCUUUCGGUUGUUGUGGUGCUUUCUGGAGUUGUGGUGCCAGUUGUGGUGCUUUCGGUUGUUGUGGUCUCAGUUGUGGUGCUUUCUGGAGUUGUGGUGCCAGUUGUGGUGCUUUCGGUUGUUGUGGUCUCAGUUGUGGUACUUUCUGGAGUUGUGGUGCCAGUUGUGGUGCUUUCUGUCACUUGGCUUUCUAUUGGUGUUGUUUCUGAAGUGGCGUAUUCUGUUUGUGAAAAAGAGAGAGACUCAAUAUUUUUGUAACAUUUCUUGUUUUUAUCUUAUAUAGCACAGAUCUAUUUGUUGGAAUAGCCAAGUACACAUAAUUCAAAUCAAAAUAUGAAUAAAUAUGACUUUUCAUGAUUAUAUUUUAUGAAUUUACAACCGUAUAUAUCAAUACUUAAUUUUUGAUUUAGGCGAGGCAGUGGCGCAGUAGGUAGUGCUGUCGCCUCACAGCAAGAAGGUCGCUGGUUCGAGCCUUGGCUCAGUUGGUGUUUCUGUGUGGAGUUUGCAUGUUCUCCCUGCCUUCGCGUGGGUUUCCUCCGGGUGCUCCGGUUUCCCCCACAGUCCAAAGACAUGCGGUACAGGUGAAUUGGGUAGGCUAAAUUGUCCAUAGUGUAUGAGUGUGUGUGUGAAUGUGUGUGUGGAUGUUUCCCAGAGAUGGGUUGUGGCUGAAAGGGGAUCCGCUGCGUAAAAACUUGCUGGAUAAGUUAGUGGUUCAUUCUACUGUGGCGACCCCAGAUUAAUAAAGGGACUAAGCCGACAAAUAAAUGAAUGAAUCAUUUUUAAUUUGUAAUAUGCAUUGCUAAGAACUUUAAAUGUGGUUUGUAUGUGAUGUAAUUUUUAUUUUUUAUUUUUCAAAAGCUUUGCAUUGUUUUAUAAAACUCGGUUUCCAAAAAAACUAGCCCUUAUGGUUGGUUUUGUGGUAACAUUAGUAUUUACAGUCCUGUUUAAGAGUACAACAAACACCUUUAUCCUCCACCAGGUGGCAGUAAGAGUGUGCACAACAUAACUUUGAAUGGUAUAAUGUACAAGCCCUGCAUGCCAAAAUCAAUACCUUUAACAUUUCACACUUGCUUUAUGCAGCCUUAAUUAUUUAAGAAGAAAUAAAUCACACAGAAAGCAUCUUCCAACAUAAUACAUUACCAGUUAUUAUGUCCAUGGUUGUUGUUUCUGUGGUAAACAUAGUGUUUGGAUUGGCAGUAGUAUAUGUAGUGUUUAUGUUCCUUACAUCUGGGAGAAAAAAAAAAUCAUGGCUACAUUUUAUAUACUGGAAUGAUUAUGAUUAACAUAAAGGAAAGGGAAAUGUAAGUAUAUUUAUUUACCUGCACAAUAUGCCAAAGAGCAGAACUCUGGUUUCACAAACUCAUAGACAUAAAAACCUCCAGGACAGGCUUUGACUUGAAUGGGAUUGGACUGGAAAUAGCAGCAGUUGUUGCUCCAUUGACCGCAGACAUCUCGAGAGACCACUCCAUCCUCAAGUGUUGGAUGUCCUCCGCUCAGCCACAGUGGAGCAUGAGUGCCGCAACUGUGCUCAUCAACACAUGUGUCUGGCAUCUGAACACUCUGACCAUUAAUGAAGAGACGGUACCAGCCGUCCCAGUUAACCUCACAGUCGCACAUUAUUUCAAAGGAAUAUUGAUUACUGGUGGCUCUCCACGGGUUAUCCAGGGCAUGGUAACUGGUGCAGGGAUCAACAGGAGGAACCACUGUUAAGGAGAAAUUAAAUGAAUAUAUCACUGUUGAAUUAGUUUAAUGCAAAAUACUUAAAUGCAUUUAAAACUAUUACUGUUUGGUUGGAAAAAUUGCAGUUUGCAAAAUGUGCAUCUGGUGUUUGGUCUUACACUAGUCAAAAUGCAUUGCAAGUAUUCAUUGCUUCAUGCAUAUACGUUCACACCAUUUACAGUACAUCCGUAUUUCGAAGAUUCAGUUUAACCACUAGUUAAAGUGUGAGUAUUUAUCAGCUUUGUGCGUUUCAAAACUGCCAACUUGUCUGCAUUUGUCUUUCCAGAACUCCUUAAAAUCAGCACAAUUUAAUUAUUUAAAUUUAAUUAUUGUUAAUUGUUAUUAGUUUAAUAAUUUAAGAUGGCAUGCUAACUGACUUUUGCAAGUUGCAAGUAAUUUGGACUGGUAUCUGAAAUAUUACCUGAUUAUUUAAGGCCAUUGUUAUUGUCAUUUUUUAGCCAAUUGUUUGUAAGUAUUGUUGACGUUAAAAUGAUCCUUGUUUUGGCUUUAAUUAAAGUCUAACUGUUGCAUAUAAGAUUCUUUUCUGACAUUAUUUGCAGAUCUACUUUUAUCCAUGCAUUAUCCAUGCAUUUACAUUAUUUUUAGCCAUCAUAUUUACUUUUGUUUCUAAAAUGAAUGCAACUAGCAAUCAAAAAUGAUGCACAUCUGCACAUUAAACAUGCAUACAGGUUUCUUUUUUUUUUUUUUUUUUGCGUGCAAAAUGGUAAAUAUGUAUUUGAUUUAACAUGUUUUAUUAAAUAGAUUAACACUUUAAAUUACCUGUGCUUAGAAUUUAUUUAAGCUACAAUUCUUGCUAUUAAUAAACCAUUAACCUUCUGGGGUCUGAGGUGAUUUUAGGACCCUUAAGAUUUUUUGACAUGCCCUGACAUGUGUUAUUUUAGCUACUUAUUAGAUAGUCCUGGCCAACUUGUAUUUUGUUUUCAUUAAAUUUAAUAUAAUAUCAACUUGUUUUCACCACAAACUGUGCUACAAUAAUAUGUGAGAAAUAUGGAUGUACACGCUUGCAUUUUUUAGGGGGGAGAAAAGUAUGCGUGGUUAUUAAUCUUUAAAUGUGAUGAGCUCAGACUGAA
rnacentral:lncRNA from 1 species